rnacentral:lncRNA from 1 species
GGUAUGUAACAGAAAUUGUAAGAGACAAGUAUGAUUUAGAAAACCAUGUUCUACAACAAGUUUAGGGGAGCUGAUAUUGAUAGAGCUGAUGCAACUGUCAUUGACGAAUAUUGCAGCCCAGAUCAAAUCGUCCAGUUAGUUUAAAGGAGAACUAUUGGCUGAGAUUGAAAGAAUAACUGCUGACGAAGAGUCUGUUGAACCAAAGGAAC